UACGGAGGGUGCAAACGUUGCUCGGAAUCAUUGGGCGUAAAGCGCACGUAGGCGGCCGUGUAAGUCGGAUGUGAAAGCCCUGGGCUCAACCCAGGAAGUGCAUUCGAAACUGCACGGCUUGAAUAUGGAAGAGGGUCGCGGAAUUCCCGGUGUAGAGGUGAAAUUCGUAGAUAUCGGGAGGAACACCAGUGGCGAAGGCGGCGACCUGGGCCAAUAUUGACGCUGAGGUGCGAAAGCGUGGGGAGCAAACAGG
rnacentral:rRNA from 1 species